GUGGGGAAUAUUGGACAAUGGGCGAAAGCCUGAUCCAGCCAUGCCGCGUGUGUGAAGAAGGUCUUCGGAUUGUAAAGCACUUUAAGUUGGGAGGAAGGGCAGUAAGUUAAUACCUUGCUGUUUUGACGUUACCGACAGAAUAAGCACCGGCUAACUUCGUGCCAGCAGCCGCGGUAAUACGAAGGGUGCAAGCGUUAAUCGGAAUUACUGGGCGUAAAGCGCGCGUAGGUGGUUUUGUAAGUUGGAGGUGAAAUCCCCGGGCUCAACCUGGGAACGGCCUCCAAAACUGCAUGACUAGAGUACGGUAGAGGGUAGUGGAAUUGCCUGUGUAGCGGUGAAAUGCGUAGAUAUAGGAAGGAACACCAGUGGCGAAGGCGACUACCUGGACUGAUACUGACACUGAGGUGCGAAAGCGUGGGGAGCAAACAGGAUUAGAAACCCGAGUAGUCC
rnacentral:rRNA from 1 species